ensembl:lncRNA
UAAAUGUGCUGCUUAUGGUCCCACUGAGAGCAUAUUUGGACUCUAGAGGUACAGGCAUUGUGUCUCAGUGGCAAGAAAAGUAACUAAGACAGAACACUGCAGGUGAGAGAAGCUGAGCCGGUCCCAGCACCCGGAAGGAAGCUCCCCUGCCACCAUCCCAUGCUCCUAGGGCAGAGAAGCUGAGCCGUGCGGGCACCAGAAGCACACCCCUCCCCUGCCCAUGGAAAUGAGAAGACAUGUAAACAAGCCUCAAAAACAGACUUCUGGAUCACCUACAGCAACCCCAAAGGGAAAUGAGAUGGAACAGUCUGACACUCAACCACCUGGACUCUCUGAACUGGCAACAAAAGAGGAUCUGGGAAAAAUGAAAUCAGAAAUAAUUACUCAGAUAAUGGCAAAGAUUGUGCUCAUGGUGCAAGACAUGAUUAAUAAAUCUAGAGAGGACACAGAUAAAAACAUAGAGGAUCUGAGGAACAUGAUGGAAUCCCAACAUAGGAAACAAAUGGAAUCCAUAAAACAGAUGCAAACAGAUUUCCAGCAGUUUAAAAACUCCAUCGAAAGUCUGUGCAGCAGAAUGAACCAAUAUGAGGAUAGAAUUUCACAUAUAGAAGAUAAGAUUGCAAUUAGUGACCAGGAAAAGAAAAAUUGCUUUAAAACUGUAAGGGAACACGAGAAAUCAAUCCAGCAGCUGCUAGACGAUGCAAAGAAGAAUAACAUAAGAUUGAUUGGAGUCAAUGAAGAAAGAGGAGAGAGUGCAGAUGACAUAAAAAAACUGUUCACAGAAGUGAUGGCAGAAAACUUCCCAAGCAGGGGAAAAGAACUUGACAUACAGAUAAGUGAGGCAUAUAGGACUCCAGCUGGCCUUGAUUAAAAAAAAAUCUACAAAUAGGCAUAUAAUAGUUAGGAUUCCAGAAAUCCAACAGAAGAACAAAAUUCUACAAGCAGUUAGAGAAAAGAAACAAAUCACAUACAAAGGAAAGCCCAUCAGAAUCACAGCGGACUUCUCAAUGCAAACCCUCAAGGCAAGAAGGGCUUGGAGUGAUGCAUUUCAAGCCCUAAAGGAAAACAGCCUCCAACCCAGAUUGAUGUGCCCUGUAAAACUGUCUUUCAAAGUUGAUGGAGAAAUAAGAUACUUUCAUGAUAAAGAGCACCUCAGGAACUUCAUGAAUACCAAACCAGCACUCCAAAAAAUUUUGGUCAAUACUCUAGGAAAAGACAAUGAGUAUCACAACCCCAGGAAACCCAGCAGAAUGAAUCCAUUGGGUGUGACAAAUUAAACGCAAAGGGGGAGAAUCCAACAAAAAGAAAAAGUCAUGACAAGGCUUUUAAAACUUUUAACUUCAUCUCCCUAAUGAGUGUAUAAUUCAAUCUUGUUAUUGUACUGAUUAGUAUUUUUCUGAUUCUAGAGUUGCACACCAUUCCUUGAGCUAUACUGGCUAUUUAUCAACUUCUUAUGUCUACAUUUUAAUUGGGUUGUCUAUUAAUGAGCUCUAAGAAUUCUUUAUAUAGUCUGCUCAUAGGUUAUACGCAUUGUAAAUAUGGUCUGUUUAAGGACUACUUUUCAUUUUAAUGGUGUCAUUUAAAGUUCUAAAUUUUGAUGGAAUCUCAUUUAUCAAUUUUUUUCUUUUAUACAUCAUGUCUUUUGUAUCCUCGGUAGUUCUUGCCUACCCUAAAUUCAUAAACAUUUUCCCUUAUAAUUUCUUCUUGAAGUUUUAUGCUUUUAGGCUUUCAUAUUUAGGUUCAUAGAUCCCUUCUAGUUAUUUUCAUGUAUGGAAAAAAAGGGUUGAGGUUAAUUUUUUAUAUACAGAUACCAGAUGUUCUAGUGCCAUUUGCUGAAAACACUAUCUCUUCCUCGGCUCUUGAAUUGAGUUUAUAUUCUAUAAAAUGCUAAUGUUAAGUAAUUUCAAAACUCAGUGGACCAUAUAUGUGUGGUUCUAUUUCUAGAUUCUCUGUUUUAUUCCAAUGAUCUAUAUGUCUUUCCUUACAUCAACACUGCCUUGAUUACUAUAGCUUUAGAAGAAGUCUUAAAAUUAAGUACUAAACGUCUUCCAACACUGUUUUUGAUUUGUUUGUUUGUUUGUUGUUUGUUGUUUUUUGCUUUUUAACUUUUCUAGGUCUUUUGUACUCCUACAUAACUUUUAAAUUUCAAUAUCCAAUUUUUCAUUUAUAGCAAGUAUACAUAGACCUGAAUUUUUAUAUAUACCUUGUGUUUUCUAAUCCUGCUAAAUUCAAAUACAAGUUCUAGGGGGUCCUAGAGAUUUCUUAGUAUUUUCUCUGUAGAUGAUCAUUUCAUCUACAUAUAAAGAUUUUGCUUCUACCUUGCCAAUCCUAUCCUAAUCAUGUCAUUUUAUUGCCAGACUAUUUUGGUGGGGCCUAGGUUUCAAAGUUUAAUGGACAGAGAAAGAGUAAGCAUAUCUGCCCUUGUUCCCCACCUUAAGGAGAAAGCAUUGUAUCUUCUCCAUUUAUAUAAGGCAUUCUCACUGGAAGUAUGGAGUACAUGUUUUUAAUCUGUUGAGAAGGUUCUGUUCUACUUCUAGUCUCCUGAUAGCUUUUACCAUGAACAGCUGUAGAAUUUAGUCCAAUACUUUUUCUCCAACUAGUGGCAGGAUCAUAUAGCUUUUUCCUUUCCUCUGUUCAAAUGAUGACUUUUGAGGGGUGGAUCUUCCAAUGCUGAACCAACACUGCCAUCCCUAUAACAAAACCACUUUCUACCUACUGCCAAAUCUGACUUCUGUUUGUUUUGUUAAACGAAUUUCUAUCUAUGUGCAUACUUUUUUCUUCUAUUAUCUUUAUCCAGUUUUAGUAUUAGCACAAUGUUGAUUUCCUAAAAUGAGGGGAGAGGUGUUCCUGCUUUUUUUCUUCUUUAAAUGUUUGAUAUAAUUUAUCAGUUAAAAUGUAUAUGAGCCUGCUGUUGUCAUAUAGGUAGAUUUUCAAGCUAGGAAUAUACUUUCUUUAAUAGGUGCUAUUCAGAUUUUAUAUUUCCCUCAGAGUUAGUUUCAUUAAUUUGUCUUCCAAGGUACUUCUUAGAAGUUGUCAAAUUUAUUUCAAAAAAGAUUUUUGUAAUAUGCUUUCUAUAUCCUUUUAAAUUCUGUAAAAUCUGUGAUAAUGUCUCCUAGAUCUUGAUAUCAUAAUUUCAAAAAUGUAUAAUUGAUAUUAUGUAAUAGGAAGAAAAGUCUAAAGGAGCAGGGGAAGUGGGAGUGGUAGGGGAAAGGAAAAAAAGGAAAAGAAAAACUAUGAGAAAAGGAAAAAAAUGGGAACAAUAUCUUUGCAAAUAGGGAAGGGUGGAAGGGGUGAAGGGAGGGCAGGAGAAUGGGGAAAAAAAAUAACCAAGAGACUCAUGUAAUGGUACAAGAUCCCAAUGAUGAAUGUAACUGUAUUUUAUACCAAAAAUGUAGCAAUAAACUUAAUGGCGGGAAAAAAAAGAGAUUUGGGGGAAGGGAGAGGAAGAGAAGAGGAUGAAAAGGGAAUUAAGUUGUAUUAUGUAAAUGUACCAACUCCUCACAAGGAAUGUAAACAUUAUGUACUGAAAAUAUACUAAUAAAAAAUAAAAAAGAAAUCUAGAAAAAAAUAAAAUUAC